rnacentral:rRNA from 1 species
UGGGGAAUAUUGCACAAUGGAGGGAACUCUGAUGCAGCGACGCCGCGUGCGUGAUGAAGGAAUUCGUUUCGUAAAACUCUGUUCUAUGGGAAUAAAAGGACUGUACCAUAGGCGAAAGCUCCGGCUAAAUACGUGCCAGCAGCCGCGGUAAUACGUAUGGAGCGAGCGUUGUCCGGAAUUAUUGGGCGUAAAGGGUGCGCAGGCGGCUUUACAAGUUGGAUGUGAAAUAUUGUGGCUCAACCACAAACGUGCAUCCAAAACUGCAAAGCUUGAGUUAAGGAGAGGUAAGUGGAAUUCCUGGUGUAGCGGUGGAAUGCGUAGAUAUCAGGAGGAAUACCGGUGGCGAAGGCGACUUACUGGACUUAAACUGACGCUCAGGCACGAAAGCGUGGGGAGCAAACAGG